GACGAACGCUGGCGGCGUGCCUAAUACAUGCAAGUAGAACGCUGAAGGAGGAGCUUGCUUCUCUGGAUGAGUUGCGAACGGGUGCGUAACGCGUAGGUAACCUGCCUGGUAGCGGGGGAUAACUAUUGGAAACGAUAGCUAAUACCGCAUAAUAGCAGUUGUUGCAUUACAACUGUUUGAAAGGUGCAAUUUCACCACUACCAUAUGGCCCUGCGUUGUAUUUGCUAGUUGGUGGGGUAACGGCUCACCAAGGCGACGACACAUAGCCUACCUGAGAAGGUGGUCGGCCACACCGGGACUGGAACACGGCCCAGACUCCUACGGGGGGCAGCAGGAGGGAAACAUCGGCAAUGGACGGAAGUCUGACCGAGCAACGCCGCGUUAGUGAAGAAGGGUUUCGGAUCGUAAAGCUCUGUUGUAAGAGAAGAACGAGUGUGAGGGUGGAAAGUUCACGCUGUGACGGUAUCUUACCAGAAAGCGACGGCUAACUACGUG
rnacentral:rRNA from 1 species